UCACUGCUGCGGCCGCCGCCAUUUUAGCGUUUUGUCCGAAGCGUCUGCGCCGCGAGGAAGAGCCCCUGCUGUUUUCUGUGCUGGCGCUGUCGAGAUGGUGAAGCUGUUCAUCGGAAACCUGCCCCGGGAGGCCACAGAGCAGGAGAUCCGCUCCCUCUUCGAGCAGUAUGGGAAGGUGCUGGAAUGUGACAUCAUUAAGAACUACGGCUUUGUGCACAUAGAGGACAAGACGGCGGCCGAGGAUGCCAUCCGCAACCUGCACCACUACAAGCUGCAUGGGGUGAACAUCAACGUGGAGGCCAGCAAGAACAAGAGCAAAACCUCCACCAAGCUGCACGUGGGCAACAUCAGUCCCACGUGUACCAACAAAGAGCUUCGCGCCAAGUUUGAGGAGUAUGGCCCAGUCAUCGAGUGUGACAUCGUGAAAGAUUACGCCUUCGUACACAUGGAGCGGGCGGAGGAUGCGGUGGAGGCCAUCAGGGGCCUUGACAACACAGAAUUUCAAGGCAAACGAAUGCACGUGCAGUUGUCCACCAGCCGGCUUAGGACUGCGCCCGGGAUGGGAGACCAGAGCGGCUGCUAUCGGUGCGGGAAAGAGGGGCACUGGUCCAAAGAGUGUCCGAUAGAUCGUUCGGGCCGAGUGGCAGACUUUACCGAGCAAUAUAAUGAGCAAUAUGGAGCAGUGCGUACACCUUACACCAUGAGCUAUGGGGAUUCAUUGUAUUACAACAACGCGUACGGAGCGCUCGAUGCCUACUACAAGCGCUGCCGUGCUGCCCGGUCCUAUGAGGCAGUGGCAGCUGCAGCUGCCUCUGCCUAUAAUUACGCAGAGCAGACCCUGUCCCAGCUGCCACAAGUCCAGAACACAGCCAUGGCCAGUCACCUCACCUCCACCUCUCUCGAUCCCUACGAUAGACACCUGUUGCCGACCUCAGGAGCUGCUGCUGCUACAGCUGCUGCUGCUGCAGCAGCCGCUGCUGCUGUUACUGCAGCUUCCACUUCAUAUUACGGGCGGGAUCGGAGCCCCCUGCGUCGCGCUACAGCCCCAGUCCCCACUGUUGGAGAGGGCUACGGUUACGGGCAUGAGAGUGAGUUGUCCCAAGCUUCGGCGGCCGCGCGGAAUUCCUUGUACGACAUGGCCCGGUAUGAGCGGGAGCAGUAUGCGGAUCGGGCGCGGUAUUCAGCUUUUUAAAGCUUGAGUUACUGUGAAGACUAUCCAGGUGGCAUCAUCUUAAUCUUGAAGCAGCGUUUUUCUGACGUUCCUGAACAGUUCACUCCCUAUGAGCUUUAUAGAAAAAACUUCUUUGAUGGUGGGAUGUGUGUGGGCUGAAAUUCCGAGCUGCGGUUGUGCAUGAGAAUACACCCUUCGU